GACGGAAGGUGCAAGCGUUGCUCGGAAUCACUGGGCGUAAAGGGUGCGUAGGCGGCCGCGCAAGUCUGGCGUGAAAGCCCCGGGCUCAGCCCGGGAAGGGCGCUCGAAACGGCGCGGCUCGAGUGCCGGAGGGGAGAGUGGAAUUCAUGGUGUAGCAGUGAAAUGCGUAGAGAUCAUGAGGAAGACCAGUGGCGAAGGCGGGUCUCUGGACAGUUCCUGACACUGAGGCACGAAGGCCAGGGGAGCAAACGGG
rnacentral:rRNA from 1 species